CCUACGGGUGGCAGCAGUGGGGAAUAUUGGACAAUGGGCGAAAGCCUGAUCCAGCCAUGCCGCGUGUGUGAAGAAGGCCUUCGGGUUGUAAAGCACUUUCAGUGGGGAAGAAAGCCUUGGGGCUAAUACCCUCGAGGAAGGACAUCACCCACAGAAGAAGCACCGGCUAACUCCGUGCCAGCAGCAGCGGUAAUACGGAGGGUGCGAGCGUUAAUCGGAAUUACUGGGCGUAAAGCGCGCGUAGGCGGUCUGAUAAGCCGGUUGUGAAAGCCCCGGGCUCAACCUGGGAACGGCAUCCGGAACUGUCAGGCUAGAGUGCAGGAGAGGAAGGUAGAAUUCCCGGUGUAGCGGUGAAAUGCGUAGAGAUCGGGAGGAAUACCAGUGGCGAAGGCGGCCUUCUGGACUGACACUGACGCUGAGGUGCGAAAGCGUGGGUAGCAAACAGGAUUAGAUACCCCUGUAGUC
rnacentral:rRNA from 1 species